rnacentral:rRNA from 1 species
GACGAACGCUGGCGGCGUGCUUAACACAUGCAAGUCGAACGGUGAACUCCGCUUGCGGGGGGAUCAGUGGCGAACGGGUGAGUAACACGUGGGCAACCUGCCCUCAGCUCUGGGAUAACUCCAAGAAAUUGGGGCUAAUACCGGAUAUGACCGCUGACCGCAUGGUCUGGUGGUGGAAAGAUUUAUCGGCUGGGGAUGGGCCCGCGGCCUAUCAGCUUGUUGGUGGGGUAGUGGCCUACCAAGGCGACGACGGGUAGCCGGCCUGAGAGGGUGACCGGCCACACUGGGACUGAGACACGGCCCAGACUCCUACGGGAGGCAGCAGUGGGGAAUAUUGCGCAAUGGGCGAAGGCCUGACGCAGCGACGCCGCGUGGGGGAUGACGGCCUUCGGGUUGUAAACCUCUUUCAGCAGGGACGAAGCGAAAGUGACGGUACCUGCAGAAGAAGCACCGGCCAACUACGUG